rnacentral:rRNA from 1 species
UACGGGGGGGGCAAGCGUUGUUCGGAAUUACUGGGCGUAAAGGGUUCGUAGGCGGCCAACUAAGUCGGCCGUGAAAUCCCCAGGCUCAACCUGGGAACUGCGUCCGAUACUGGAUGGCUUGAAUCCGGGAGAGGGAUGCAGAAUUCCAGGUGUAGCGGUGAAAUGCGUAGAUAUCUGGAGGAAUACCGGUGGCGAAGGCGGCAUCCUGGACCGGCAUUGACGCUGAGGAGCGAAAGCCAGGGGAGCAAACGGG